rnacentral:rRNA from 1 species
UACGUAGGGCGCAAGCGUUAUCCGGAAUUAUUGGGCGUAAAGAGCUCGUAGGCGGUUUGUCGCGUCUGCCGUGAAAGUCCGGGGCUCAACUCCGGAUCUGCGGUGGGUACGGGCAGACUAGAGUGCAGUAGGGGAGACUGGAAUUCCUGGUGUAGCGGUGAAAUGCGCAGAUAUCAGGAGGAACACCGGUGGCGAAGGCGGGUCUCUGGGCAAUAACUGACGCUGAGGAGCGAAGGCGUGGGGAGCGAACAGG